UAUGAUACAUACAUGUAGUUAUAUUUUGAAAAUAUCUUGAUCUGCCUGGGUUUAAUAUAGGGCUUCUUAUAUUUGCUCCUCGUUGCGGUUGAUGUGUCAAUAAAGAUGUAUUUGAAUACCUGCGUUGAUAAGUUAUGAAAUUUUACCUUCACAUUGGAAAGUAAUACACCAACAACUGUGUGAACAACAAUAUGGGUGGCGAAUGGAUCAAAAACAUGUGUGGCGCAAAGCUGGACGAUGAAGCCAUGCAAAGGAUCGGGCAUCCAAAACUAGAGUUAUAUACACACGUGACUGUAAAAACUGUUCAAAGUUUCGGUUUACUGGGAACCGUUCUAGUUGGACCAAUUACGGCUGCAGUUCGACCAGAGACCCGAAACUGGGCAGGGGUCCAAGAGAAAAUGACCCGUGCUGGUACGGGCGGGGUAAUUCUAGGCGCCGCAAUGGGGCCUAUAUUAACUUAUUUAGCAACAAAGAAUGAGACAGAUGGUUAUAAAAUAUGGGACCGUUGCUAUAGACUACGAUAUAAUCGAUGUCAAGUGCGGGUUGAUCAGUUAUCGGUAGUUGGGGCGGCGACUGGCGCGGCAAUAGCGUACGGAACGGCUCAAGCCGGCGGUGUUGUGUUUGGAAGUCUCGUCGGGAUGUCUGCCGGAAUAAUAUUGGGGGCUUUUUAUAACGCGGCAUUGGCUUAGUUGUGAAAGCAAAGAUGUGUGAACCACAACUAAAACUUAUAUUUGCUGAGACCCUGGGACCAUUCAGCGGUGAUGCAAAGAAACGGACUUGCAGCGUUUUAGAAAGACACAAUAUAGGCAGACAUAUUUGAAAAUAAAUUGUUAGAUUCGGCAAUUAUAGUGUUUUAUAUAUUUUUUGUGUGUUUUCAAAACAGUGUUUCUAUAUUUGUGAAAUAAAAAUUAGUUUUGUU